CCUACGGGGGGCAGCAGUAGGGAAUCUUUCACAAUGGGCGAAAGCCUGAUGGAGCAACGCCGCGUGAAGGAUGAAGGCCUUCGGGUUGUAAACUGCUUUUAUAAGCGAGAAAUAUGAUGGUAACUUAUGAAUAAGGAUCGGCUAACUACGUGCCAGCAGCCGCGGUCAUACGUAGGAUCCGGGCAUUAUCCGGAGUGACUGGGUGUAAAGAGUGGCGUAGGUGGCAUAAUAAGUAGCUAGGAAAAUCUGGUGGCUCAACCCGGGCCGGCCGUUGAAACUGGGUAUCUUGAGUGGGCGAGAAGUAUGCGGAAUGCGUGGUGUAGCGGUGAAAUGCAUAGAUAUCAUGCAGAACUCCGAUUGCGAAGGCAGCAUACUGGCGCCCGACUGACGCUGAGGCACGAAAGCGUGGGGAUCGAACAGGAUUAGAUACCCUAGUAGUC
rnacentral:rRNA from 1 species